UGGGGUUUAAGCAGUUUCCCACUUGACCACCUGUAGUCAGUAAAGCUACAUUUAAACUCCCAAACUUUUUGAGUUAAAGUGAAAAAGUAUUUUCCGUCUUAACUCCGUUACUUUAUUUGACUAAAGACUUAAUUACCCUCACCAUGGUAAACAGGAAAUUUGCAAGGAAAAAAGCACAGGCACAAACAUCACCAUAAAAUCCGACAAGGAGACCAAAUAGUUGGCGAAAGACAUGGUUUAGCAGCAAAAAUCUUACAUGGUUUAGCAGCAAAAUCUUUCAUACCCCAAGCUCGUCACGUCAACGGCCAUGGCCUACCAAAUCAAUCUCUGUUCUAAGCUUCACUAAGAACUACGGCUGUGAAGAUCUGUUAGGAGUUAAGUAAGAAGAAAGGAAAUUCAAUUUCAUUAGACCCAUCUCAAUCUCUCCCUCUUCACAGUACUCCUCAUCCCAAUUGAUUAGAUCCACAUCUCAAUUAAUUCGAUCCCCUUCAAAACCUCUCUCGAGCACCUUGUGUGCGCUGCCCAAACUGAACUACCUACCCUCUGUUGCAGUUAUCUCUAACCCAAAAAAAUUUCAAGCUGAUCAAAUCAAUCGGUCAGAACAGCCCAAUGCAAUUAAAAACCAAGGGAAAGCAAUACCAAAUCCGAAAGUUAAAUAAGCAGCCCCAAUGCAUAUCCUCAAUAAUUAGAUGGAAUCUCAGUAAAAAUUGAAUACCUAUAACAGUUUGUUAUCUAAUUCUAUGUUAAAUCACACCUUGUAAAAGAAGCAUCGGUUCCACUUGUAUUUAGGGAUAUCAAAACCCAAGUAUUUUUCCAGUGUAAUUAAGUCCACUAAGAAUGUACAAUUUUUCCAUAACACGACAGUAUUAUUGGUAUACCUCAGAUCGCAAGGUAUGAAAGUUUAAAGCAUAUUUUGUAGCAGAGUAUACAGCUUGACUUGGUGCAGGAGACUUUCCGGCAACACUACUCAUCUGCAUAUAAGAUGAAAUUAACAAGAAAAUUCUAAUGGGGGAGGGGAAGAAGGAAAAAUAUAAAGUGCCAAAGUGGAAAACAAAUCGUAUCCCAUUUAGAAUACCCAUCACUCAGCAGGACUCGAUUAAUAAAUAAAAGAAAAUUUCCAUCUUAAUAUUUAACAGAGAUCCAACCACCACAUAGGGUCGGAUAUGAGGAGAGUCGGCGAAUAAAUCGAUAACAUCGAUAACAUCCAAUUUGAACAAAUAAAUAGAGCAAUAACGAAUAAAUUCAGACCGAGAUGAAAUCAGUUCAAGAUCUGAGAACUAAAAUCAGUUCAAGAUCUGAGAAAAUGGAAAGAUGAAUAGGGAGAAACCCCACAAUCUAAAAGCCCACGCUUUUCCGGCGAAUCCCACCACCGUCUCCGUCAAUAUCGCCGCUGAGAAUCAGAGUGGGUUUGAAGCCUUGUCAAAAAUUGAAGAUUUGUUUAACUUUGAUGAAGCCUCUUCAUUUUCUUCCAUGACUAAACAAAGAGGAGGAAGUUGGGCUAUUUUGGAUAUUUAACGGUUGUUUUUGACUGUUACACCUCCUUCUCACGCGCUUUUUGGCGUCUGACAUACACGCACAGUUAAGUUGGACGGAAAAUAUGACUUUUUCAUUUUAACUCAAAAAAUCGGGAGUUCAAACCCCAGGUGGUCAUCUGAACUUAACCCUUAAAAUAAUAUAUUUUUGGGUCACCUUAAUUCAAUACAAGUUCAUCCAAGAAGAAAAUAUUAUUCCUUCCGUCCUAGGAUAAAAGUCCUGGUGGACUUUUCACGCAUAUUAAGAAAAAGAAUGAAAUGAUAAAAUUGUCAAGCCAUAUUUUAUCUUACAUUAAAUAAAACCAAAAUAAAAUAACUCAUUCAAUCCUCUUCUCCCCUAAUCUAUCAAUUCAAUUCUCUUCUCUAAUCGGAAUAAUUCCCAGAAAGUCGAACCCAUCGGCCAUCACCGACCACAACCACCAUACCUUAUCAUUGCCACUUUCACUCACUCAUCCAUUAUCAAACACAAGCAGCUAAUUAAAAAAAAUAGAAAGAGAACUAAUUGCACCAUCCCCCAUAAAUUCAACACCAACGUUCAUCACUAUCACCAUCAAUAACAAUCCACCGCACCAUGGCACCAUCCCUAUCAGUCGAGCUAGCA
rnacentral:lncRNA from 1 species